GGGCUAGGAAUGUAACUCGGUGGUAGACUCCUUGCCAAAUAUGCACAAGGUCCUAGAGUUCAAUCCUCAGCAAUAAGAAGAAAGUAAGUUUAACA
ensembl:miRNA Gm27415 predicted gene, 27415